UUCCAUAUGUGAUUUUCAUGCAUGAACCCAAUUUUCUCUUAAACCAAAAGGCUAGGCUACGGGUUUGGCAAAGAUUUGUGGUGAAGAAGGCCAAGGAGGAGGAAAGACCAUGAGUUUUUGGAGAAGAAAGGGAAAUACGAUCGUUAAGGAAGCUUACGCGGAAAACACCGGAGUGUACGUGGAAUACGCCGGCAUUUCCAAGUAGGGUGAGCUGUCCCUUCCUUGUUAGAGGCUUUUCUAUAUACGUGGAAUGCUCUAGUAUAAUAGUAUGUUGCCUGCAAGUACGUUUUUGGUUGUUCAUUAGUCGAUGCCUCUAUCUGUGUUUUCAUAACUGAUAAUUGUUGAUUGCGAAAACCGAGGCUAAACUUGUAUGUUGAGAUACUGUACCCAUUGUAUGUUUGUACUUGUGACCUGAAAGUGAAUGGGAUCUAGACGCGUUGAUUCCUAGGCAUCCCAAGGUGUCGAUAACCAUGAACCUCCGGAGGGGGCUAUGCUCCUAUGUGCGUCGAGGAAAGGUGAAUAACGAUGGUGAACCAGUCAUAAGACACUCAGGGCCAAGAAAUAGACACUUUCGCUACUUGUAGUCACAAGGACCACAGAGUAGUUGGCCGGUUCUCGAAGGAUGACAAACCGGGUCAAUCACCGAUUGUUUUAGAUUAGCCGGCAGGUAAGUAUCUCGGAGCUCCAAGUUGUGUGAAGCAUGCUGCAUAUGAUUUCCUAAAAAAGGACGACGAUGAUUGUUUUUGUUUGCAUUUUCUUUACUCAAUUUUACAAAUGCGCACAAUCUAUAUUCUAGUAGCUAUUUUACUUAUUAGUUUUCAAACCUAACUAAGGUUGGGUUGGCCCCUAUUGGGCUAGCGAGGACGAAAUGCUCACCCCUACAUUUCAGGUUGCAACGAGGUCACUCUGGAAGAUCUGUAUUUGAAGUGGGUCGUUGGCCGAGUCCGUGUGUUGCUGUCCCUAUUGCUUGAAGUCAUUUCCUUUUGGUACUCUAUCAAUUUACUCGCUUUUCUUUCAAUGUUGAGCUCAGUUGAACUCUAUGAGGUCCGCCUACCUGGGAGCGCGCCUCACCCUUUGUUUUAUUGUUGCUGUUGAACUCCUUUCAUUUCGGUUAUGAUGUAAGCCUUAAGGCGUCACAGUGCACUUGCCUACUUUAUUUUGAAGUA